UACGUAGGGGGCAAGCGUUGUCCGGAAUUAUUGGGCGUAAAGCGCGCGCAGGCGGCAAUUUAAGUCUGACGUUUAAGCCCAGGGCUCAACCCUGGUUCGCGUUGGAAACUGGAUCACUUGAGUACAGAAGAGGAAAGCGGAAUUCCACGUGUAGCGGUGAAAUGCGUAGAGAUGUGGAGGAACACCAGUGGCGAAGGCGGCUUUCUGGUCUGUAACUGACGCUGAGGCGCGAAAGCGUGGGGAGCAAACAGG
rnacentral:rRNA from 1 species